rnacentral:rRNA from 1 species
AGUGAACGCUGGCGGCGUGCUUAACACAUGCAAGUCGAACGAGAACGGAAUAUAGCUUGCUAUAUUUGUCAGCUAAGUGGCGCACGGGUGAGUAAUGUAUAGAUAACCUGCCCUUAAGAAAGGAAUAACAGUUGGAAACGACUGCUAAUGCCCUAUAUGCCUUUAAUACAUAAGUAUGCAAGGGAAACGCUUUAGUGCUUAAGGAUGGGUCUGUAUGGUAUCAGCUUGUUGGUGAGGUAAUGGCUCACCAAGGCUAUGACGCCUAACUGGUUUGAGAGGAUGAUCAGUCACACUGGAACUGAUACACGGUCCAGACUCCUACGGGAGGCAGCAGUGGGGAAUAUUGCACAAUGGACGAAAGUCUGAUGCAGCAACGCCGCGUGGAGGAUGACACAUUUCGGUGCGUAAACUCCUUUUAUAUAGGAAGAUAAUGACGGUACUAUAUGAAUAAGCUCCGGCUAACUCCGUGCCAGCAGCCGCCGUAACAC